CAGUCGCCGCGGUAAUACAGAGACUGCAAGCGUUAUUCGGAUUCACUGGGCGUAAAGGGUGCGCAGGCGGCCAUGUGUGUGAGGCGUGAAAGCCCGAUGCUUAACAUCGGAAUUGCACCUCAAACUACAUGGCUAGAGCAUUGGAGAGGGUAGCAGAAUUCAUGGUGUAGCAGUGAAAUGCGUAGAUAUCAUGAGGAAUACCAGAGGCGAAGGCGGCUACCUGGACAAUUGCUGACGCUCAUGCACGAAAGCGUGGGGAGCAAACAGGAUUAGAUACCCCGGUAGUCCCUGUCUCUUAUAC
rnacentral:rRNA from 1 species